ACCAUCUACAGAAACUUAUUGUAAUUCAUUUUUCCUCACUCAGGUAGUAAGAAUUACACCAAAUUGAAAAGAUAUGAAUGAGUAUCCUAAAAAAAGAAAAAGGAAGACUCAACACCCUUCUCGUUAUUCAGAUUCCUUUGGAAUAAGCAGAAUUGCAGAUGGAUUCAAUGGAAUUUUCUCUGAUCAUCGUUACAUGUCUGUUCUUUGAGACAGCCAGAUUUAAAAUAUUUUGACAACAAAGAUGAUGAUUCUGAUACCAAGACAUCAAAUGAAUUGCCAAAAUUUGCAGAUGGAAUCAAGGCCAGAAACAGAAAUCAGAACUACCUGGUUCCCAGUCCUGUACUUAGAAUUCUAGACCACACUGCCUUUUCUACAGAAAAAUCUGCUGGUAUUGAAAUUUGUGAUGAAGAGUGUGACUCACCUGAAUCAGUCAACCAGCAAACCCAAGAGGAGAGUCCUAUAGAAGUUCACAACUACUGAAGAUGUUCCAAUUGCUGUAGAAGUGCAUGCGAUUUCUGAGGAUUAUGAUAUAGAGACAGAAAACAAUUCCUCUGAGAGUCUCCAAGAUCAAACUGAUGAAGAACCACCAGCUAAACUUUGUAAAAUUCUUGACAAGAGCCAAGUUUGAAUGUGACUGCCCAGCAGAAAUGGCCUUUACUGAGAGCUGAUAGCAGUGGCCUCUAUAAAUGUGAACUUUGUGAGUUUAACAGCAAAUAUUUUUCUGACUUAAAGCAGCAUAUGAUCCUGAAGCAUAAAUGUACUGAUUCAAAUGUGUGUCGAGUAUGCAAGGAAAGUUUCUCUACCAAUAUACUUCUGAUAGAACAUGCCAAACUACAUGAAGAGGAUCCCUGCAUUUGUAAAUACUGUGAUUAUAAGACAGUAAUUUUUGAGAACCUCAGCCAGCACAUUGCAGACUCCCAUUUUAGUGAUCACCUCUAUUGGUGUGAACAGUGUGAUGUACAGUUCUCCUCAAGCAGUGAACUCUACGUUUCCAGGAGCACAGCUGUGAUGAACAGUACUUGUGUCAGUUCUGUGAACAUGAAACUGAUGAUCCAGAAGACUUGCAUAGCCAUGUGGUAAAUGAGCAUGCAUGUAAAUUAAUAAAGUUAUAAGUAUAACAAUGGAGAACAUGGACAGUAUAGCCUCUUAAGCAAAAUUACCUUUGACAAAUGUAAAAACUUCUUUGUAUGGCAAGUAUGUGGUUUUCGGAGUAGAUGUCAUACAAAUGUUAACGGGCAUGCUGCUAUUGAACAUACUAAAAUUUUUCUUCAUGUUUGUGAUGACUGUGGGAAAGGCUUUUCAAGUAUGCUAGAAUCUUGCAAGCAUUUAAAUUCACAUUUAUCUGAAGGGAUUUAUUUAUGUCAAUAUUGUGCAUAUUCAACAGGACAAAUUGAAGAUCUUAAAAUUCAUCUAGAUUUCAAGCAUUCAGCUGACUUAUCUCAUAAAUGUAGUGACUGCUUGAUGAGGUUUGGAAAUGAAAGGGAAUUAAGUCACCUUCCAAUCCAUGAGACCACUUGA